rnacentral:lncRNA from 1 species
CCAAGCUCAAAUUCAAAACAUCUCUCUUUUCUAUGUCCAAUUUCUCUCUUUGUAUGAAAUUUGAUCAUUUGUUAAUUUUCAAGCCCAAAAAAUUAAAUUUUAGUUGAAAUUUAAAUAAUUUUAAAAAAAUAAUCCAGUCCAAAACCAAACCGGACCAAAAAUCGAAUUGGGCCACCGCCUAUUGGGCUUCAAAAACCCACAAUGAACCAUGCCACAAGCUUUUAUAAUCAAGCCCAUACCCAACCUCUCUCUCUCUCUCUCUCUUUCUCUCUCUCUCUCUCUGAUAAUACACAUCAUCCUCCUUGUCCAUGCAUGCUAGUCUUGUCCUUGCUGUAGUGGGUUGCGUCUCGGGGUUUUUAGGCUCCUCUGAGGCCUUCUGCUUGACUACUUCCUUUGCCUUUUGUAUCGCGUCGUAGAUCGAGUCCCCUACUUCUUGGGCUUUGUCCUCUACUGAGCCCAUCACCCGGCCGGUACUUUCCUGCGAAACAUGUGUUAUGAUAUCUAAUGAACAUGUCAAUUCUAGAUUAUAUUUUAUUGAAAAGCUGUUAAACUGAAAACUAGAUUAAGUGUACUACUAAUCAAAGCAGCUCAUGAUCCUUUUAUUGAAGGCAUAAGUGCAUUAUAAGUUCACGGAAAAGGUAAAUAUAUAUGUUUACUUGCCAGCAAUGAGUAUGAAGAUAAAUGGAAUUGGAUAAACAAAGAAUGGGAAUCAUAUCAACUAGGAGUGGAUAGUUGAUUUGAUUCCACUUCCUUAAGGAAUUUCAUUAAGGAUUUUUAGGUGGAACCCGCAUAUUUAAUAAUUUAUGUGUAAGUUAAAGCAGAGGAAGUCAUGAAUGAAAAUCACCAUUUCUUUUUAUUCUCAUUACUUAUAAAUAAACGUGUACAAAUGAUGCUCAGGUGAUCUAGGGCUGGAGUGUCCUACAACCUACCCCAAAAUAUCUCCCAUAUUUGGUCUAACCCCUAACCUAUAGUUUCAUAACUAAUUAAGCCUACCACCUAGAGGUCCCAUUUGGUUCACAAAACGGAUUUGAGGGAAAUCACUUUCCAUGUCAUUUUCCAAGGGAUCGGUAAUGGAGAUUUCUUUCCCAUGUUUGGUAAUCUUAGGAAAGUAAUAAAUAAAAAAUACAACUUUAUUUCCUUUCACAUGUUUAGUUUGGAUAAGAAUGUAAAACAAAGUUUGUUUAAUUUUCAAAUUAUACCCAUAUGAAAUCAAAUAAAAAAAAAGAAUGCAUUUAAUGCUAUAUUGUAAUUCUAAAUUGUUAAUGGGGACAACAUGAUCAUAAAAAAUAUGUAUUUAAUGUUGGCACAUUUUCCCAAACUUUCCCAUAAGGAGGAAAACAAAACCAAAAGGCGGAAGAGGGCUACACUUUCCUCCCUAUUUUCCAAUGUGCAAAGUAACGAUUUCCUAUACCUAAACUUACCAAACAUGAGACCUCAAACCUUCUUUCUCAUGAACCAAAUAGGACCAGAAGGCUAAGCUUACCCUAAUAUUUGUGGGUAGGUGUGGGAACGGUACCUGAGCUUGGGCCUUGGCUUCGUCAUCAGCUCUGU